CGCCUGAUGGACGUCGACCGGCGCACGGGUGAGUAACGCGUAUCCAACCUGCCCCACACUAAGGGACAACCCGCAGAAAUGUGGACUAAUACCUUAUAUUUUCCACCAAGGGCAUCGUCGAUGGAACAAAGAUUUAUCGGUAUGGGAUGGGGAUGCGUCCGAUUAGGUUGUUGGCGGGGUAACGGUCCACCAAGCCAUCGAUCGGUAGGGGUUCUGAGAGGAAGGUCCCCCACAUAGGAACUGGGACACGGUCCUAACUCCUACGGGAGGCAGCAGCG
rnacentral:rRNA from 1 species